AUUGAACGCUGGCGGCAGGCCUAACACAUGCAAGUCGAACGAGUGGCGGACGGGUGAGUAAUGUCUGGGAAACUGCCUGAUGGAGGGGGAUAACUACUGGAAACGGUAGCUAAUACCGCAUACCAUCGGAUGUGCCCAGAUGGGAUUAGCUAGUAGGUGGGGUAAAGGCUCACCUAGGCGACGAUCCCUAGCUGGUCUGAGAGGAUGACCAGCGACACUGGAUAGUAGACACGGUCCAGAUGCCGACGGGAGGCAGAAGGGGGGAAUAUUGAACAAUGGGCGUAAGCCUGAUGCAGCCAGGCCGCGUGUAUGAAGAAGGCCUUCGGGUUGUAAAGUACUUUCAGCGGGGAGGCGUUACCCGCAGAAGAAGCACCGGCUAACUCCGUGCCAGCAGCCGCGUAAUAC
rnacentral:rRNA from 1 species